GUUAGGAAUAUUGGACAAUGGGCGCAAGCCUGAUCCAGCCAUGCCGCGUGAGUGAUGAAGGCCUUCGGGUUGUAAAGCCCUUUUGUUGGGAAAGAAAUCCUGUCGGUUAAUACCUGGCGGGGAUGACGGUACCCAAAGAAUAAGCACCGGCUAACUUCGUGCCAGCAGCCGCGGUAAUACGAAGGGUGCAAGCGUUACUCGGAAUUACUGGGCGUAAAGCGUGCGUAGGUGGUGUUUUAAGUCCGUUGUGAAAGCCCUGGGCUCAACCUGGGAAUUGCAGUGGAUACUGGAUCACUAGAGUGUGGUAGAGGGAUGCGGAAUUUCUGGUGUAGCAGUGAAAUGCGUAGAGAUCAGAAGGAACAUCCGUGGCGAAGGCGGCAUCCUGGGCCAACACUGACACUGAGGCACGAAAGCGUGGGGAGCAAACAGGAUUAGAUACCCCUGUAGUCC
rnacentral:rRNA from 1 species